rnacentral:rRNA from 1 species
UACGUAGGGGGCAAGCGUUGUCCGGAUUUAUUGGGCGUAAAGAGCGUGUAGGCGGCCAGGUAGGUCUGCUGUGAAAACUCGAGGCUUAACCUCGAGCUGUCGGCGGAAACCAUCUGGCUAGAGUCCGGAAGAGGAGAAUGGAAUUCCCGGUGUAGCGGUGAAAUGCGCAGAUAUCGGGAAGAACACCGGUGGCGAAGGCGGCAUCCUGGACCGGUAUUGACGCUGAGGCGCGAAAGCUAGGGGAGCAAACGGG